AUAUAUCUUUUCCCCCUUUGUCAUUAGCAAAAAGGAUUGGAAAGACUAAACAUUGAACAACCAUAUGUUGUAUGAUAAUAUAGCAUAUAAUAUGAACACAUAAACAAAUAACAAUACAACCAAAAGCACAUACUUAAUACAAAAUAACUUGUCCAUACAUAAUGAUUAAAACAUAAACUUAAAAAUAAGAAAACUCGGUAUAACAAAAAACAAGAAACAAACACAUUAAUCAUUUUAAUCAC
rnacentral:lncRNA from 1 species